UAUCUCUUAUCCGUCUUGGAAGAUGUCAUACAAAACACGAUUGUCAGAUGCGUUCUUUGUAAACACACACGAACAAGCAGGUUACACUUACACCGUUACACCCAAGCUUACAUACACAGACAGAGCAGACGCUUUCAAUUUUCGAUAAAAAUAAAAAUAAAUAUUGUGAACGCCCGGAAUCAAGCCAAGAGUUAAAUAAACGUAGUCUCAUUUUUCUGAAAAAGAAAAUGUGGUCGUGACUAAACUGAAAAUUGGUUUUAUUAAGUUUAAUAAAUCCCAAACAUAAAAAUGGGUUGCGCGCAAAGUGAAAUAUCUCCUCAAAAUGAACCAGCUCCUAGAAAAGGAUGUACCGAUGUGCUGUGGCUCAUUAUUUACAUAUUAUUUUGGAUAUUAAUGAUAAUAGUUGCUGCUAUAUCAUUUGUGUAUGGAAAUCCACUACGAGUUAUAAAUGGGUUUGAUUCAUUUGGCAAUACCUGUGGAGUUAAACACAAUCACAAGCUAACACCAGCUCCAGUUUCAGGCAUCAGCACUGUUGAUAAGAGAUAUCUUUUCUUUAUGGAUAUCAAAGAACUACAAAGGUCUCUUAAAAUUUGCGUCAAAGAAUGCCCUAACAAGAAGUUAAAUUCAUUGAUUGACAUUCAAAACUUUUAUAAAGAAACUGGGUCAAACCUCUGCCGUUAUGAUGUCAACCUGAACAAAGUAACAACUAACAAGGACUAUGAACACAGCUAUGUAGGUCCUUGUCCUACACUACCAGUUUAUGAGACUUUCCCUCUACUGAAUAGAUGCUUCCCCAAGUCAGCUCAUGAACUUACAAAAAAAGUAUUCACUGACUUCUAUGAUUUACUCAAUAGUUGGGACACUAUUGAGCAGAUGCUUUCUGAUCUCUAUUCCUCAUGGAAGGAAAUGAUUAUAUGUGUCAUAGUGGCCUUCAUAUGUUCCCUUAUCAUGGUGUCCAUCCUUCAUUUACUAGCUACUUUGGUAUCAUGGAUAUUUAUGAUACUAGUGUCGAUAGCUAGUAUAGCAGGAACUGCAUUACUAUGGUACACAUACCAUGAACUGAGGACAAAACACAAGUCUUUUGAAACUGCAUAUUUAUCUGAAUCUCUAAAGAACGAAAGCGCCUUUUUGUGGUAUUCAAUAAUAGCUACUAUUAUUACUGUGAUAUUAUUGUUGUUGGUGUUUGUGAUGCGUUCCCGCGUGUCUUUCUUGGCGGCCUUAUUCAAAGAAACUGCUCAUUGUCUUGGUUCCAUUCCGGCCUUAUUUUUACAACCUAUAAUAACAUUUUUCUUCCUUGUACUAUUUUUAGCAUUUUGGUCGAUAGUUGUGGUAUGUUUGGCAACGGCUAACUACCCUGGUAUACCAUUUCAAACUAAUUUCCUACUAAAUGGAACUUCGGCAUCGGAACUGAGUCAAAGUAAUAAAAUAGCUAUCGACGCACAAAACAAUAGCUUGAAAACAUUCACUUUGGAAAACAUUGAGUUUGACCCCAUGUGGGUUAAGAGUAUGUGGUGGAUAUGUCUGAUUUGCUUAGUUUGGGGUAGCGAGUUCAUACUCGGAUGUCAACAGAUGACAAUCGCUGGAGCGGUAUCGCUUUGGUAUUUUAGGGGUCCGAAUGCUCAUCCAUCGCCUGUUUUGUAUUCGAUCGGAAAACUUAUAAAGUAUCACUUGGGUUCAGUGGCAAAAGGAUCAUUUUUGAUAACCCUCUUCAAGAUACCUCGUCUCAUCUUGACCUAUUUACACGCUAAGUUGUCGUCUCGAGCAGAAAAAGGUUCAGAGUGCGCAAAAUGUGGCCUUAAAUGUGGUAUAUGUUGCUUCUACUGUCUCGAGAAGUUUAUCCGGUACUUGAAUCAUAAUGCCUAUACGAUAAUUACUAUUGAGAGAUGCCACUUUUGCAAGGCGGCUGCUAAGGCAUUCAGCACCAUAGUAAACAAUGCUCUCCAAGUGGCCACGAUAAACAGUGUGGGUGACUUCAUCCUGUUCCUGGGUAAAUGUAUAGUGACAGCGGUCACGGGUAUCGUCGGUCUACUGCUUCUUAAGCGCAAUACUGAACUGCACUUCUUUGCUGUACCGACGCUUGUGAUUUGUGUCUUCUCGUUCUUUAUUGCACACUGCAUACUUUCUCUUUAUGAGAUGGUGGUUGACUCCCUGUUCCUCUGCGUUUGUGAAGACCGCAACAUGAACGGCGCUGACGGUAGAUGGAAGAACUCGAGACUUGCGGAACUCGGCGGCCAUAAACAACAGAAGCUCGAUGACGUAGACGGCACGGAACUUCAGGACGUGCCAGACAAGUAUUGAAGACAGACUGUAGAGCUUGUGGGCUUGUGCAUGUCCGUCCAGUGCCUUAUUAUGGAUAGCGGCUGCUAAUGUAAAAUUGGCAGCAUUUAAUUUAAGAAGAAUUUUAAGACGCUUUUAAUCAGUAAUGCAUUUUAUAAUUUAUUAUUAAUGUAAGCACAACUACACCGUCUUAUUUGAAUUGGGCUGAUAUUGAGAAGUGAACCUAUGGAGUAGUGUCUAUAGUUCAAUUGUUGAGGGAAGAAGCAUGGUAAAUUAAGCUGCAAAUCUCAGAAGUUUGAAGGUCCUUCAAGAACAAAAUUUUACUAAAUAUAACAUUUAUGUUGCAUGUGGCAAUCAAAAAAAGUCUUAGAGAGAUAUUUUUACAAAUCAGUAUUUAUUCGAAGCAAUUCUCAAAUCUUUAUAAGAUUUAAAGAAUGUAUUAUUCUGUCUCAAUAUCCUUUUAGUGUUUAGAUUGUUUUUACACCUUUAAUUUGAUGUUGGUGCAAUUUUAUAGCUAUAAGAAUCAUGGUUUUCCGAGUUUUGACGUAAAUGAAUAUUUUGUGAAUCUCGAUAGUACGUAUUCUUUAUAGAUGUUUACACAUUUUGAUAAAAUAGUGAUGUACGUUAUUUAUGUUGCACGAUUUUUUAUCCGCAUGCUUAUAUUGUUAAUGAUAAUUAUUUUUAUGCGUAUUGUGUGUCUUUGUGAACAUGUAAUUUUGAGAUUGUUUAGAAUUAGUACAAUUUAGGGGGCCACUGUCCCCUCUUACUGUAGGUGAGUUGUAGUUAUGAAAACAAGUCUGCGCAUGGCGGUGCAGAAUGGUGGCUACAAUCUAUAGUGAGAACUGAUGGUAGGCUCUAAUCCGUGCUCCGUAAACGAGAGAAUCUCACAGUACAUGUAAUAAUCUCGUUUAAAACUUUUAUCAUCGUCAUUUAACAAACUUUAUUUUAAUAAUAAGAUAAUAAGACAAGUAUUACUUAUACUUUAAGCCUAUUUUGAGGUAAUUUUUGAUAUUCAAUUUUUUUGGUUUUAGGAACCCUAGCUAAGACUAUUGUCUUUUUUAUUUAU